GCCGGGCGUGGUGGUGCGCGCCUGUAAUCCCAGCUACUCGGGAGGCUGAGGCAGGAGAAUCACUUGAACCCAGGAGGCGGAGGUUGCAGUGAGCCGAGAUGACGCCACUGCACUCCAGCCUAGGUGACAGAGUGAGACUCUGCCUCAAAAUAAAAAAAAAAAGAUGCAAUAAAGUUCUUUUUUUUUUUGAGACAGAGUCUCGCUCUGUCGCCCAGGCUGGAGUGCAGUGGCGCGAUCUCGGCUCACUGCAAACUCCACCUCCGGGGUUCACGCCAUUCUCCUGCCUCAG
rnacentral:sRNA from 1 species